AUAGUUGCAACCAUAUUUCUUUUAGAAGAUGACAGAAACGUCCAUCUCCACUGACAAAAUCAUGCCAAGAUCUCUAGUUUGAAAAACCUGUUAUGGGGUCCAAUAAAACGAAGCUCUCAUGGGAGGAAUGAAAAUCAUGUCUUUACUCAUGUAUCGUUCCAAUUAAAUUUUGAAACUUAAUAAAAAUUAAUAUAUAUGUUUCUCACACAGC
rnacentral:lncRNA from 1 species